CCUCUCUUCUCAUAGAUAGGGUUAAAACUCAAAACACUAUAGUGAAGGUUAGCAUGGACCCUACGCAAGGAUGAUAUGCACAAAUUGAGAAUGAUCCAAAGAAAAAAUAACUAUUU
rnacentral:snRNA from 1 species